UACGGAGGGUGCUAGCGUUGUUCGGAAUCACUGGGCGUAAAGGGCGUGUAGGCGGUCUGUUAAGUCUGAUGUGAAAUCCCCUCGCUUAACGAGGGAACUGCGUCGGAUACUGGCAGACUCGAGUACCGGAGAGGAAGGUGGAAUUCCCGGUGUAGCGGUGGAAUGCGUAGAUAUCGGGAGGAACACCGGUGGCGAAGGCGGCCUUCUGGACGGAUACUGACGCUGAGACGCGAAAGCGUGGGGAGCAAACAGG
rnacentral:rRNA from 1 species